CAGAGGGUGCGAACGUUGCUCGGAAUUACUGGGCGUAAAGCGCGUGUAGGCGGGUCGGCAAGUCAGGCGUGAAAUCCCCAGGCUCAACCUGGGAACUGCGCUUGAAACUGCCGGUCUUGAGUAUCGGAGAGGGUGGCGGAAUUCCUGGUGUAGAGGUGAAAUUCGUAGAUAUCAGGAGGAACACCGGUGGCGAAGGCGGCCACCUGGACGAUUACUGACGCUGAGACGCGAAAGCGUGGGGAGCAAACAGGAUUAGAUACCCUGGUAGUCCACGCCGUAAACGAUGGGUGCUAGGUGUCUCGGGUAUUGACCCCUGAGGUGCCGUAGCUAACGCGUUAAGCACCCGCCUGGGAAGUACGGCCGCAAGGCUA
rnacentral:rRNA from 1 species